CGAUCGCAAUUGUGGCUGUGAACGAAACACAACAUAUGCAAUUAAGGCUUGUGCUUGAAUUUUAUUUAAGUCGCCUGCAUCGCAUAUUCUAUUUUAUUAUACACUUUUUUAACUUUAAGAAAACUAACAGUAAAAAAAUACCAGCAGUGACAACAUACGUUUUUUAAAUAAUAUUUAAAGAAAUUAAAGAGUGUGAACAAUUGGUAAAAUAAAUCAAAUAUAGAAAACCAACUAAAUAUAAUAAAUUACACCAAGUCAAUUAAACAACGUUUGACGAAAUUUGAAAUUAAAUUAACAUCAAGGUAAAGGUGGAUAUAUAAUAUAAUUUAAAUUUAAUUUAUCCGGAAUUCCUAGAAUAUAUUGAAAAAACUAUAGAGCAGACUAUAAAUUCGACUUUAAACUAGACUAUAGAUAAGCCUUAAAUGCUGGAACAAUUUGCUGACAAAAUCCUUUCUGUGUUAAAAACAAAAAUUUCAAAUACGUCUGUUUCUAAACAACUACAAAUGACAGCAAUAGAUAAUGAAUUUAAUUUUUUUUAACAAUUUUGAAUAUGCACCAUCUUUUCCCUCCACCACAAAAAGUACAGACUGAUGAAAGUGGUGCAAAAAUUGGAAAAGAGUUUACAAUCGCUGACUCCCAAGAAGGCUUUGUAAUGAUGGUUGGAUCUAAGGAAGUACUUGAGGCGAAAAAUAGCUUACUUAAAUUGCAAGGACGAAAUAUUCAGCCAAAAUUAAUGAUUGUUGGUGAAAUAUAUAAAAUACAUCAUAUAUAUACAUAUAUAUCGAUGAUAUUAAAUAUCCUAAUUUAAGAAUUUUAAAUGCUGUAGAUGUGUUAUUUAAAAUUUAAUAU